rnacentral:tRNA from 1 species
CAUAAAAUAGUUUAUAAAAAUAAUAAUUUUGGAGAUUAUAGAUAAAGAUUUUUCUUUUUUUUUGA